GACGAACGCUGGCGGCGUGCCUAAUACAUGCAAGUAGAACGCACAGUUUAUACCGUAGCUUGCUACACCAUAGACUGUGAGUUGCGAACGGGUGAGUAACGCGUAGGUAACCUGCCUGGUAGCGGGAGAUAACUAUUGGAAACGAUAGCUAAUACCGCAUAAUAUUGAUUAUUGCAUGAUAAUUAAUUGAAAGGUGCAAUUGCACCACUACCAGAUGGACCUGCGUUGUAUUAGCUAGUAGGUGAGGUAACGGCUCACCUAGGCGACGAUACAUAGCCGACCUGAGAGGGUGAUCGGCCACACUGGGACUGAGACACGGCCCAGACUCCUACGGGAGGCAGCAGUAGGGAAUCUUCGGCAAUGGACGAAAGUCUGACCGAGCAACGCCGCGUGAGGGAAGAAGGUUUUCGGAUCGUAAAGCUCUGUUGUAAGAGAAGAACGGGUGUGAGAGUGGAAAGUUCACACUGUGACGGUAUCUUACCAGAAAGGGACGGCUAACUACGUG
rnacentral:rRNA from 1 species